GGGAAAAGUAAAACCAAAAUGGCGGGAAACUUGUCCGAUACAGUCCUCAAUUCCUCACAACUCGCUCCCGUCUUCCUUUUUGAAUAUUAUUUCCCUCUAAUUUUUGAUUCUAGGGUUUCCGAGAUGUUUUCCAGCACCCAAUUCGAUGUCACUUCCGCCUUCUCCGGCGGUGGAUUUAUGCCCUCCCAGUCAACUCAGCUCACCGAUUCGGCUCCAUCUCCUGCGAAAAGUCGCGAUUCCCAGGGUUUGGUUCCGGCGACAGUGAAGCAGAUAAGUCAAGCUUCUCACUCUGGUGAUGAGAAAUCAAGUUUUGUGAUCGAUGGCGUGGAUGUUACUAAUGUUACGGUGGUUGGAAUGGUGUUUGAUAAAGCCGAAAAGGUUACCGAUGUUGGUUUCAUUGUGGACGAUGGGACAGGCCGAAUUGGUUGUAGAAGAUGGGUGAAUGAGAAUUUUGACACAACCGAAAUGCAGAAUAUACAAGACGGGAUGUACGUUCGCAUUAAUGGGCACUUGAGAAGUUUCCACGGUGUAAGGCAGUUGCUUGCUUUCUCUGUGAGGCCUGUGACAAACUUUGAUGAGGUUACUUUCCACUUCAUUGAUUGCAUACACACCCAUCUGCAGAAUUCCAAAUUGCAGUUGAAGCUGCAAGGAGGUGCCUCAAUUCAGCCUCACAUGGUUGAAUCAUCUGUGAACACACCUGUGCGCAGUGGAUCAAAUGGAAAUCAGACAUCCACAUCUAUCCAAUUAUCCAAGCAAUAUAGCGUCGAUGGACUAAAGGACUGUGAUCAGCUAGUUCUUGAAUAUUUGCAACAAUCUUCAAGCAUGGGGCAAGAAAAAGGCACACACAUCGAUGAACUUUGCCAGCAGAUAAGGCUUCCCAUGGAGAAGAUAAAGGGAUCUAUUAGGUCACUUGAAGAUGAAGGCCUGAUUUACUCUACAAUCGAUGAAUUUCACUACAAAGCAACCUGACAAAUUUGUUAAAUUGUUGCCUGGGAUAUGACUGCUUCUGGUGACAUGAUUAUGUAAUGAAUAGUACUUGCUGUUGGAGACUAGUGAAAAAUUGUAGAUAUUUAUCAGAUCCCUGAACUAAAGCACAUGUUAUGCAUUGUUUUGUCCUUUCAGAUCAUGGAAUUGACAGUCCAAAGUUCAACAUUUUGCGUGUUCACGUUGCUUAUACUGUUAGCGUGCUAAAUCAUGGAAGUGGUCCACAUUUAUUUGUGGAGAUGACUCGCAGUAGGAAUUUGGCUCGACUGUUCUCUUCUUUUUCCAUACCAUUGAGAUGUUUUGCUUUCAGCUUAAUUCAUGAUUAGUUUAG
rnacentral:misc_RNA from 1 species